UACGGGGGGAGCAAGCGUUGUUCGGAUUUACUGGGCGUAAAGGGCGCGUAGGCGAUCAGCACAAGUCAGUUGUGAAAUCUCCGGGCUUAACUCGGAAAGGUCAACUGAUACUGUGCGACUAGAGUGCGGAAGGGCAACUGGAAUUCUCGGUGUAGCGGUGAAAUGCGUAGAUAUCGAGAGGAACACCUGCGGCGAAGGCGGGUUGCUGGGCCGACACGUGACGCUGAUGCGCGAAAGCCAGGGAGCAACGGG
rnacentral:rRNA from 1 species